AAUUGUGCACCCCCUCCCCGUAAAAAAACAUGAAAGCACACAAACAUAAAGGUAUGUUUAAUUUAGCAGCAAAUAAAGGAUAGUAUUGAGUAAAUUAUCAAUGGCAAUGAAUUCAGUAGAAUGUAAGAUACAUGUAAAUUGACAUUUUUUUCUUUCCAAAGAAAACAAUGCAUGUGAUUCAAACAAGACAUAUGGUUAAUGAAAAACUCAUAAUACUUGUCUCUUCAAGUCUUAACAUACCUGGCUGUGACUGAAAUUACAGUUUAUCCAAACAUUGAUUCAGGUGUAGUUUUGAUUCGUAUUUGUGCUGGAAACCAUACUUUAUUUAUGUAUAUAUUUUUUGCAUGUCACUGACCAGUGUGUAAAUGUAUUCAGCAUAUCUUGGCUACUGUAUUGAUAUCCAAUUAACAGCCGUUCAAAGAUCCAGCAAUCGAAUUUCAGCAGCAUGGCCUUACAACCUCUGUUGGGAUACAGGUCUCUGUAGCAACAAGAGUAAAACGGUCACAAAGGGUUGUACUUCUGCAGAACACAGGCUCACAGAUACCACCCGAUAUUCCAGCCUUUAUUUCAAGAGGGACCUCUUUUGACAAAGGGGAUAUACCAGAAGAGAAAGUUGAUUCAAAGGAAGUGGAGGAAGAAAGGUUAUCAUCACCAGAAAGUGACGCUGCAGAACCCUCCUCACCUGGAUACAAACCACCAUCAUCUUCAUCUUCAUCAUCAGAUGAGCGUGUAAUUGCCAAGCCACAAAAAAGACGGAGAAAACGGAAAAGGCGACCAAGCAAAAAGGCCCCAUGGGAAGCCCCAGCCAAAGGUAUUCCUCCACACAAGGAAAAAAAAUACAUUGUUUUUGAGUCUAAGCUUUUGGAGCUGUUGCAGUUUUGUCCAUCCUGCAAGUCUUCAAAUGUGUCCCUUGUAAAGAGAGAAGUUGGAUGCCUCCUUUCUGUGACAAGGGAGUGCCUAUCUUGUGACCAGAAGUCGACAACAUGGGAGAGCCAGCCAUGG